CAAAAAGUUUAUUAUUAAUUAGCAUUACUUAUUUCAAGAUGUUUAAGAAAUGAUGGACAAAAAAAUAGGAUGGACAUAAAUGAUAUAUGAACUAUAAAUAGUUUUUUGUAAAGCUGACUUAGAUAACCCAUAUGCAUAUCCAUUUCCAGUCCUUUUUGAUGCAUAAAUUCAAUUUCUUCAAAGCAGUUAUUCCACAAAGAGAUCGUAUGAGAUAU
rnacentral:lncRNA from 1 species